CUCUUACACUAUCUGAAUGGAGAGCCCCCCGGCCUGCCCCGGUCACCCACAAGUCUCCACGUGGCGUCUACCGCCAGUGUCUAAAAAUAGAAGCCCCCGCCCCCCGCGCAGUGGGGUAACCACAGGAAGCAGUUCAAAACCACUUCCGGCGGCCACUCUGCGGCCGUUGUGAAUAGAAGCGGGGCUGCUGCGGGAUUCAUAGGCAGUACACCGGGGCCUUCCAUCAAGAUGGAGCCACCCUGCAUCGGGACGCGCUGUGGGGGUGGACGCGCGUCCCGUGGGCCUGGGCGCCGGGUCCAUUCCCAGGCCUUCAGGCCCUGAGCCGGCACAGACAAAGCUCCGGAACUCACGGGAAACGGACUUCGGCCUCCUCACGUCCGGCAGCAGCUCCACGGCGCAGCCCGCAGCGCACACCCCGGGCGGCAGCUCCAAGCAUACUUCUCUCAGUCCUGGGCUUGACCUGCCCUCUCUCCGCCCCCCACAGCUGCUUUUACUGUACUGCCUUUCACUGUAUUUUACACGGAGAGAGCCUCAACAGCUGACCUGGGCAGCGUGGUUUUUUCUGUCGUGUCAUUUUGUGUUGCGGCAGCGGUGCUGACCUGCGGCUUGCCUCACACUUUGGCGAAGUUCGCAGCAGGCAGCUGUAUAAGAGAACGCCGCGUUUGUCAGCUCACCCUGCUCAUGGCGACAGUGACGUCCUCAGGGCAGCCAGCCGGGGGUUCCCAGCAGCCCCCUACCCAUCUGAGGCUGGAAGGCUGAGUUCAGGCCCCACCCCCACAGAAGAUGCUGUGGCUUCGGCUUCCAAGGUGACAGGAGAGGCGGGCUCCUCAUCACCUGCUGCUGCUUCUCUCAGAAUAGAACGCAGAGGGAGGGAACAUCUCAUGGGCAAAAGCCACAGUGUUAAAGCCCGAGUCCUCACCGUGGCUGCUCCCCACAGUCUCGUGGGCAUCUCUCUCCACGUCAGCCACCGCUUACUGGAGUCCAGGCGCCAAGACGCUUCCGUGAGAAUGACAGCUCAGGCCCCUUCUUCGCCAGGACCUGAUGUCUGGGGCGUGGCCAGGAGACCAGGAAGGAAUGCAUUAAACCACUCCUUAAAUAAGCCUCAAAAGCAGCCAUGCAAUUAACCAGCUCAACCCAAACAAAACAAGGAUCCCUCAGCGGGCUUCCCCAGGGUUGGCGCAGCUGGAUCUCACGGUCUGUGAGGACUGAGAGGACGGAAGGCCGGGCUCUCGUCAGUCCCAGAGCGUAUCCUGGAUCCCUAACCUGAACUGAGAAAGGGGGAGGUGAAAAGGGAGCUAAAGCAUUUCCUGAAAACGGCAGACAGUCCCCAUCCCCACGGCCCUGUCGCUGUGUGUGUUACAUGGCUGCCUCACAUCCUGGCUCUUGCCAGGCAGGAAGUUCAGGGCCCUUUUCUUCCAUUUGUCCAGGAGGUGCUCCUCUGGGGGAGGAGCGGCCUCUGGCGCAUUCAGGCCUGAGCUUAUGGAAUCAAGGAGUGGCCUCUGGUUCUGAUGCACAGGAGAUGCACACCCGGGGUGCCGGGGGCAGAGCGAAGGGUGGAGGACAGACCCUCUGAGGCCUGUUCUGGGCAGUGGGACCCGAGGCAGGUCCUACAAGAGCAGCGAAGCCCUGGACUCCUCCUCUCCGUGGGUUGUGCGUGCGGCAGGCACACACUGACACAUCUGUUACUCACAUGAAUGCGUGUCUGUAUUUUCACCAAGACUUAAGUCAUAUUUGAAGUCUUAGCCCAGGUUUUCCACAGGGCAGUGGGCACUCAGGGACAAAUUUAGCCUUCAUUAAAGGAGCAAGUCUUCUGAAGCUGGACGUGCAGCCAACAUUGCCCCGCAGAGCGUGUACAGCCAGACGGGAAGCCUUCUCAGUCUUUGCCGGGAGGUUUCCCAUGUCAACUGCCUCUAAUGACAUCCUUCUGACAUACGACCAAGCCUGUUUUAUUUGUACCAUUUGUCACAGAUGCUGGGAUGUGGCGUGGAUUGGGAAGGCUAAAUCUGCCCCCUGAUUUGGGGUUUUGGGCACCUUAUCAGACUAGGACGGCUGGCCGCUCUUUACCCCUUGUCCAGAUUUACAUCUUAGAAGAAGAGUAAGGUGUGGUGGAAGGCAUGAAUGUUUAUGGCAGUCACCGUAACUUCUUCCAGGAAAGUGAAGUGAAAGUGAAAGUCACUCAUUCGUGUCCGACUCUUUGCAACCCCAUGAACUGUAGUCCAUGGAGUUCUGGAGGCCAGAAUACUGGAGUGGAUAGCAUUUUCCUUCUCCGAGGGAUCUUCCCAACCCAGAGAUUGAACCCAGGCCUCCUGCAUUGCAGGCAGAUUCUUUACCAGCUGAGCCACGAGGCUUUCUAAAGCUUCCUUGUGGGCUAAAGAGACCUGAUGAACCUCCAGUGAUGGUGGUCUCAUUUCUACUUGGUCUAACUGUAACAUUGUCAUGUGUCCAUAGGAGCCUGGGGGGCUGUCCUCAAAUAGAAGAGACACAAAAGAGACUCUGCCGGGCACAGAGUUGGCUACUCAGGGAUUUUGUUGAAUACAUAAAUGUUGUGAGUUGCUCCCAGUCAUGUCUGACUCUGUGACACUAUGGACUAUGGCCUGCCUGGGAUGCUUUCCUGAGCCCCGCACCGCCAUCGGGAGGGCUGGGUGAGCAGGGUGCGAAGCUCACAUGGCAGCUGAGUAGAUGCAGGCUGUCCUCGGUGGGGCAGGGGCCUUCCUCAUAUCUAAUUGCCUGGUGAUGACAGGACCACCCACCGUCUUAAAUUACCCUCCAUUUGCUGAGCCCGUCGUCCAGCCCUCCCAUGAGGAACUUCACGUAUUAUGUAUUAG
ensembl:lncRNA